rnacentral:rRNA from 1 species
AAAACAUGUCCUUUAGAGUUUAAUUUAAGGUCUAGCCUGCCCACUGAUUUAAAUGGCCGCAGUAUUUUAACUGUGCAAAGGUAGCAUAAUCAUUAGUCUUUUAAUUGAAGGCUUGUAUGAAUGGUUGGACGAAAUAUUAACUGUUUCAUAAAAAUUUAUUUAGAAUUUUAUUUUUUAGUCAAAAAGCUAAAAUUUUUUUAAAAGACGAGAAGACCCUAUAGAUCUUUAUAAUUUAUUUAUUAUAGUUAUAUAGAUUAUUUAAAUUAUGAUUGUAUAAAUUAUUUUGUUGGGGUGACAUUAAAAUUUAAUAAACUUUUAAUAAGUUUUUACAUUAAUUUAUGAGUAAUUGAUCCAUUAUUAGUGAUUAUAAAAUUAAGUUACCUUAGGGAUAACAGCGUAAUUUUUUUGAAGAGUUCAUAUCGAUAAAAAAGAUUGCGACCUCGAUGUUGGAUUAAGAUAUAAUUUUGGGUGCAGCAAUUCAAAAUUAAGUCUGUUCGACUUUUAAUUUCUUACAUGA